UUAGAUACCCCAGUAGUCCACACAGUAACGAUGAAUGCUCGUAAUUAGAUAUAAUUUUUAGUUACUUAGCUAACGCGUUAAGCAUUCCACCUGGGGAUUACGAUCGCAAGAUUAAAACUCAAAGGAAUAGGCGGAGAUUUAUACCAACGGUGGAGCAUGUAGUUUAAUUCGAUAGUACACGCAAAAUCUUACAAUUCUUGUAAUUAAAAAAAUUUUUAAAUUAAAUUACUUUUGUUUUAAUUUUAAAGUGGUUUUUAAUUCUCUUUUUAACAGGUGUUGCAUGGCUGUCGUCAGUUCGUGUUUUGAAAUGUUCGGUUUAUUCCACUAACGAGCGCAAUUCUAUAUUUUUAGUUGAUAAAAUUUUUUUUAUUCUAAAAAUACUGCAAAAUGCACUAUUAUCUUAUAAUAGUUUUUGUGUUUUUGAGGAAGGUUUAGAAAUAAGUCAAGUCUGUAUGGCUCUUAUGGAUUGGGCUACAUACGUGCUACAAUGAUAAUUACA
rnacentral:rRNA from 1 species